AUGAACGCUGGCGGCGUGUCUAAGGCAUGCAAGUCGAACGAUUUCAAUUGAUCCGCAAGGAUUGGUUGAGAUAGUGGCGAACGGGUGAGUAACACAUUGGUAAUUUACUCCAAAGACGGGAAUAACCUUUCGAAAGGAAGGCUAAUACCCGAUAAGCUCCGACAACAUAAGUUCGUCGGAGUAAAGUUACGGCUCUUUGGAAAAAACCUAUGGCCCAUCAGCUAGUUGGUAGGGUAAUGGCCUACCAAGGCAUUAACGGGUAGCAGGUGUGGGAACACGGCCUGCCUCACUGGGACUGAGACACUGCCCAGACUCCUACGGGAGGCUGCAGUCAAGAAUCUUCCUCAAUGGCCGAAAGGCUGAAGGAGCGACGCCGCGUGCAGGAAGAAACCCUUCGGGGUUUAAACUGCUUUUCUGAGGGACGAAUUUUAUGACGGUACCUCAGGAAUAAGGGGCUGCUAACCUCGU
rnacentral:rRNA from 1 species